rnacentral:rRNA from 1 species
UACGAACUGUGCGAACGUUAUUCGGAAUCACUGGGCUUACAGGGUGCGUAGGCGGCUCAACAAGUCAGGUGUGAAAGCCCCCGGCUCAACCGGGGAACUGCGCUUGAAACUGUUAGGCUCGAGUCAGCUAGAGGUACACGGAACUUCCAGUGGAGCGGUGAAAUGUGUUGAUAUUGGAAGGAACACCGGAGGCGAAAGCGGUGUACUGGGGCUGGUCUGACGCUGAGGCACGAAAGCGUGGGGAGCAAACAGG